rnacentral:piRNA from 1 species
UGCCCUUUUGUUUGCUGGCUGUGGGUC